AUUGAACGCUGGCGGCAGGCUUAACACAUGCAAGUCGAGCGGAGAGAGGUAGCUUGCUACUGAUCUUAGCGGCGGACGGGUGAGUAAUGCUUAGGAAUCUGCCUAUUAGUGGGGGACAACAUUUCGAAAGGAAUGCUAAUACCGCAUACGUCCUACGGGAGAAAGCAGGGGAUCUUCGGACCUUGCGCUAAUAGAUGAGCCUAAGUCGGAUUAGCUAGUUGGUGGGGUAAAGGCCUACCAAGGCGACGAUCUGUAGCGGGUCUGAGAGGAUGAGCCGCCACACUGGGACUGAGACACGGCCCAGACUCCUACGGGAGGCAGCAGUGGGGAAUAUUGGACAAUGGGCGGAAGCCUGAUCCAGCCAUGCCGCGUGUGUGAAGAAGGCCUUAUGGUUGUAAAGCACUUUAAGCGAGGAGGAGGCUACUUUAGUUAAUACCUAGAGAUAGUGGACGUUACUCGCAGAAUAAGCACCGGCUAACUCUGUGCCAGCCGCCGCGGUAAUAC
rnacentral:rRNA from 1 species